rnacentral:rRNA from 1 species
CUCAGGGAGGUAGUGACAAGAAAUAACAACACUGGAAAUUUUAUUUCUAGUGAUUGGAAUGAUGGGAAUUUAAACCCCUUUCAGAGUAACAAUUGGAGGGCAAGUCUGGUGCCAGCAGCCGCGGUAAUUCCAGCUCCAAUAGCGUAUAUUAAAGUUGUUGCAGUUAAAAAGCUCGUAGUUGGAUGUCUGCUGGAAGCAAUCAGUCCGCCCUAUUUGUAGGGUGUGCACUUGAUGAAUUCUGGCAUCUAUGUCCUAAUGUGAUAGAUACGGCGGUGUAUAUGGGUUAAUCCUAUAUACCCGUUUGUAUAUUAUAUUGGGAUAAUACCGUUACUUUGAGAAAAUUAGAGUGUUUGAAGCAGGCUAAUUGCCUUGAAUACUGCAGCAUGGAAUAACAAUAUAGGAUUUCGGUUCUAUUUUGUUGGUUUCUAGGACUGAAAUAAUGAUUAAUAGGGACAGUUGGGGGCAUUCGUAUUUAACUGUCAGAGGUGAAAUUCUUAGAUUUGUUAAAGACGAACUACUGCGAAAGCAUUUGCCAAAGAUGUUUUCAUUAAUCAAGAACAAAAGUUAGGGGCUCGAAGACGAUCAGAUACCGUCGUAGUCUUAACCAUAAACUAUGCCGACUAGAGAUAGGAAAAUGUCAUUUUUCUGACUU